rnacentral:lncRNA from 1 species
CCCUGGCGGAGGCACGAGCACCUUGGCCAGGGAAGGCGCUCAGCCCGGACUCUACAGAAGGCCCUAUGGAGGUGGCGGCGGGCGGAGGCGGCGGUGCGGGGCCGCCGUUGCUGCUGAGCGAUAGCGAGCAGCAGUGCUACUCUGAGCUCUUCGCGCGCUGUGCAGGCGCUGCAAGCGGGGGCCCCGGACCUGGCCCCCUCGAGGCUACCAGGGUCGCCCCUGGCAUUCUCACU